rnacentral:rRNA from 1 species
GACAGAGGGGGCAAGCGUUGCUCGGAAUUACUGGGCGUAAAGCGUGCGCAGGCGGUUGUGCAAGACAGAUGUGAAAUCCCCGGGCUCAACCUGGGAAUUGCAUUUGUGACUGCACGGCUAGAGUGUGUCAGAGGGGGUAGAAUUCCACGUGUAGCAGUGAAAUGCGUAGAGAUGUGGAGGAAUACCGAUGGCGAAGGCAGCCCCCUGGGAUAACACUGACGCUCAUGCACGAAAGCGUGGGGAGCAAACAGG